AAUGAACGUUGGCGGCGUGGGUUAGGCAUGCAGGUCGUGCGGAAAGGCUCCUUCGGGAGUACUCGAGCGGCGAAAGGGAGAGUAACGCGUGGAUAUCUACCCCCUGGACUGGGAUAGCGGCGGGAAACUGCCGGUAAUACCAGAUAAUGUCUGCGGACCAAAGGUGUGAUUCCGCCGGGGGAUGAGUCCGCGUCCUAUUAGCUAGUUGGUGGGGUAAUGGCCCACCAAGGCAAAGAUGGGUACCGGGUGUGAGAGCAUGGCCCGGCUCACUGGGACUGAGACACUGCCCAGACACCUACGGGUGGCUGCAGUCGAGAAUCUUCGGCAAUGGGCGCAAGCCUGACCGAGCGACACCGCGUGCGGGAUGAAGGCCUUCGGGUUGUAAACCGCUGUCAGAGGGGAGGAAAUGCAUGAGGGUUCUCUCUCAUGUUUGACCUAUCCUCAGAGGAAGUACGGGCUAAGUUCGUGCCAGCCGCCGCGGUAAGAC
rnacentral:rRNA from 1 species